GCUAAACGCGAAGAACCUUACCUGGUCUUGACAUCCUCGGAACCCUGCAGAGAUGCGGGGGUGCCUUCGGGAGCCGAGAGACAGGUGCUGCAUGGCUGUCGUCAGCUCGUGUCGUGAGAUGUUGGGUUAAGUCCCGCAACGAGCGCAACCCUUGUCCCUAGUUGCCAUCAUUUGGUUGGGCACUUUAGUGGGACUGCCGGUGACAAACCGGAGGAAGGUGGGGAUGACGUCAAGUCCUCAUGGCCCUUAUGGGUAGGGCUUCACACGUCAUACAAUGGUCGGUACAGAGGGUUGCCAAGCCGCGAGGUGGAGCCAAUCCCAGAAAGCCGAUCGUAGUCCGGAUCGCAGUCUGCAACUCGACUGCGUGAAGUCGGAAUCGCUAGUAAUCGCGGAUCAGCAUGUCGCGGUGAAUACGUUCCCGGGUCUUGUACACACCG
rnacentral:rRNA from 1 species